CCUACGGGGGGCAGCAGUGGGGAAUAUUGCACAAUGGGGGAAACCCUGAUGCAGCAACGCCGCGUGAGCGAUGAAGGCCUUCGGGUCGUAAAGCUCUGUCCUAAGGGAAGAAUACUGACGGUACCUUAGGAGGAAGCCCCGGCUAACUACGUGCCAGCAGCCGCGGUAAUACGUAGGGGGCUAGCGUUAUCCGGAAUUACUGGGCGUAAAGGGUGCGUAGGCGGCCCUUCAAGUCAGAGGUGAAAGGCUACGGCUCAACCGUAGUAAGCCUUUGAAACUGUAGGGCUUGAGUGCAGGAGAGGAGAGUGGAAUUCCGAGGGUGGGGGUGAAAGGCGUAUAAAUGGGGAGGAACACCAGUUGCGAAGGCGGCUAUCUGGAGUGUAACUGACGCUUAGGGACGAAAGCGUGGGGGGCGAACAGGAUUAGAUACCCCUGUAGUC
rnacentral:rRNA from 1 species